CCACUGGCGGAUUACCGGUAGGAACAUGAAUGCUGGCAGAGUAUACGGAGACGUCAGUAGCUGAAGCAACAGGAGUAGUCGUAGUAGCGCUAGUUGGGGAAACUGAAUCGCUGUCAAUUUCAAUGGAACGCUUCGCGUAGGAACCGGCAGUCUCAGUAACAGUGAAAGUUACAGUGUCUGGUUUGAGGACAUUGUAAACAGUAACAACAGGUUGGGAGGUGACUUCAGAGCUUGAACAGUCAACAGUGCGAACUAAAUAGACUGUAGUAGUAGCAGGGGUAGAGACAAUCGAAACACCCGAAUCAGCAAAAACGCUUCCAGCGAGGAAAGAGACAGCGCACAAGGUUUGGAAGAUAGAGCGAAGAA